rnacentral:misc_RNA from 1 species
AUCGAUGUAUUGUUGUCAAGUGAACGUCUUGGUUUACGUACGAGAAGUAUCUUAUAGUGUAGUUUUGAGAAAUUGAGGUGCUUGUCUGUAAUUCGAGGGGCACUGAACGAUCACAAGUUCACAUACGCGACGGACGAGUGCGGUCAGGUACUGGAAACGAGUGCUUUUAGCGGGUAACGACGAGGGAGCAAGUUCCCGAACCUGCUGCGACGCGUGCUGGUGUCCUUAAUGCGCUCCCUAGACAAGGAACUAUAGGAGGUCAUGGGAAGACUUGCGAUCCAAGUGGUACGAGCGUCAAGCGCUUACUUACAGCCUCGUCACUUUUCUGCUACGCGACUCAAGGGGUAGUGGGGCUUUCUUCAAAGUCUCAUCGUUCUCUACACGCUGCAUCACAGGAAGCUGUACCGGGUCGUGCGGUUAUGGAUCAAACCUAGGAAAGGUAACAGCUGAAAGCUAGAACAAACAGUAGCUCGUGAGGCAGUUAUACACGAGCCGUGUUCCAAGUAGCCUGCACGCGUGCGUCAGUGGACAAGGGAUAAAACGGCUUGCGCAGCAACUCCAGCGAACUCGCUUGCUUCUCGCGAUGUUCAAGAAUCAUUCAAUCUCGAGCGUUCUGAAACAUUCGAACACGUCUCCACUCAUUGCGGUAGCAGAGGCGCUGCACCAGUCCACGUCGCUGGACACCGGUAUCUUCCACCGUAUCUCAUGCGCUUCCCUUUACCCAUCGAUGUGAGAAAAGCGCUCCACAAUGCGUUAGGAUUUCACGAAAAGCACCUAGCGCCACAGCAUGUCGACUAAUUUACCUCCUCUUGUCGAGAAUGUAGCUCAUUUCGCAGAUGUCCUAGUCGUAGGCGACGAGCCUCUUCAAUAUGCUGCGCAGCGUUCGACAACGUACUGGCCAGUGAGGAUCCGCAGUGGUGCUGGUGCUGGUGCUGGUGCUGGUGCUGGUGCUGGUGCUGGUGUCUCUUCCAGGGCCCAUCAGGGACGCAAAAUAAGCCGACAACACCUUCUCCGUCUGCUGCCGAAAGCUCCGCAACAAGACAGCCGUUCGUGCAGCACAACGAAAGCGGAUCCAACCAUCAACGAUAACCCGCUGAGCUUCGUGUUCAAUACGGAUAUCGCGGCCGCUGAAAAGCAACACGGCAAAGACAGGUACAGCGCUUACCUGCUGUACAAAAGCACGACUCGUAGUGACCCGCUGGGCGUAGGUAAACCACCGGACUGCGUGAGAUGACAGCUGCUGCCGCUGCUCCUCGCUACGUUCCAGACGUACCAACGAUGACGGGUGCAGCCACACCGGGGUAUUGGUUUCGUCAAAGAGUUGCCAUGUGGUUGAAUUCGGUGUCGCUCCAUUCCCGUGCUUCGCAGAAGAUGUAUCCUUCUGCUGCUUUCCACUCACUGGGGUCGCUCGCAACAGUUGCGGCACCAGUGCUGCGUAUAGGACUGCUCGGUGGAUCCGUUGAUGCUGUUCGUUUUCGUGCCAGUCGAUGGGCCCUGGCUCGAGUCCAAUGUCGUCGAGCGUUCGCUCCAGAGAAAGUCGUGUCUGUUGAAUUUGUUCCAUGACGCGUUCGGAGAGUGCAUUCUGUGCGAGGAACGCAGCCAACGCCCCUUUCCCCGCAGAGGCCGCCUGUGCGCACAGCGUCUGCCACUGCUGCCAAACGUAAACCGCACUUGCUAUAUCG